rnacentral:misc_RNA from 1 species
GCGUUCGGCGGCGCAGCCGUCGUAAACCCUGAAAACCGGGUUUAACUGAUACACCGCAGUAUCAGAUUUUACGACGGCUGCGCCGCCGAACGC